rnacentral:rRNA from 1 species
CCCUUAGAUGUUCUGGGCUGCACGCGCGCUACACUGAUGCACUCAACGAGUUUCUUCCUGGUCCGAGAGGAAUGGGUAACCUUUUGAAAGUGCAUCGUGAUAGGGAUAGACUAUUGCAAUUAUUGGUCUUCAACGAGGAAUUCCUAGUAGACGUAGUUCAUCAGACUGCAUCGAUUACGUCCCUGCCCUUUGUACACACCGCCCGUCGCUCCUACCGAUUGAAUGCUCAGGUGAGCCAUUCGGACUUUCAUCAUGCUGGUUUCCAGUUUUGAUGAAGGAAAGUCUUGCGAACCUUAUCAUUUAGAGGAAGGAGAAGUCGUAACA